UACGGAGGGUGCUAGCGUUGUUCGGAAUCACUGGGCGUAAAGCGCGUGUAGGCGGUCUGCUAAGUCUGAUGUGAAAGCCCGGGGCUCACCCCCGGAAGUGCAUUGGAAACUGGCAGACUGGAGUCCCGGAGAGGAGGGUGGAAUUCCUGGUGUAGCGGUGAAAUGCGUAGAUAUCAGGAGGAACACCGGUGGCGAAGGCGGGUCUCUGGGCCGAAAUUGACGCUGAGGAGCGAAAGCGUGGGGAGCAAACAGG
rnacentral:rRNA from 1 species